rnacentral:rRNA from 1 species
UACGCAGGUGACCAGCGUUGUCCGGAUUUACUGGGCGUAAAGAGCGCGCAGGCGGUCGUUCAAGUCGAGUGUGAAAGCCCCCGGCUCAACUGGGGAGGGUCAUUCGAUACUGAUCGACUUGAAGGCAGGAGAGGGAAGUGGAAUUCCCGGUGUAGUGGUGAAAUGCGUAGAUAUCGGGAGGAACACCAGUGGCGAAGGCGACUUCCUGGCCUGUUCUUGACGCUGAGGCGCGAAAGCGUGGGGAGCAAACAGG